AGCGAACGCUGGCGGCAGGCCUAACACAUGCAAGUCGAACGAACUCUUCGGAGUUAGUGGCGGACGGGUGAGUAACACGUGGGAACGUGCCUUUUGGUUCGGAAUAACUCAGGGAAACUUGUGCUAAUACCGAAUGUGCCCUUCGGGGGAAAGAUUUAUCGCCAUUAGAGCGGCCCGCGUCUGAUUAGCUAGAUGGUGAGGUAACGGCUCACCAAGGCGACGAUCAGUAGCUGGUCUGAGAGGAUGACCAGCCACACUGGGACUGAGACACGGCCCAGACUCCUACGAGAGGCAGCAGUGGGGAAUCUUGCGCAAUGGGCGAAAGCCUGACGCAGCCAUGCCGCGUGAAUGAUGAAGGUCUUAGGAUUGUAAAAUUCUUUCACCGGGGACGAUAAUGACGGUACCCGGAGAAGAAGCCCCGGCUAACUUCGUG
rnacentral:rRNA from 1 species